GGCGUGCCAGUUCCCUCUAUCCCAGCACCACUACAUCAGACUCAGCGUCCCGAGACGGGCAUGAGUCUCAGGGAGGCAUGCUGGACUGGAAUGAUCUGCUCAAGGCACCUGGCAACACAGACCCUUUGGGGGCAGUGUCCUCUCAUAACCACCAGGACAAGAAGGGUAAGGCCUUGGAAGUACCUCUUCCUCUGGGGGGGAGGGGGGAGAGGGGAGGAGGAAAGGGGAGGACUGUGUAUCUGCUUCCAGCUGAAUCCUAGCAGCGUUAGGAACUUGCUGUGCACCAUCAUUGAAAGCAUCUCAGAAAAGACUGCAACCCAGCUCUUGAGGCAGGCUUGAUCCCCCCAUUCCCACACAGAACAAAUAGCAUGUCCCCAGGGCUUCCUCUCUCAGGCUGCUUCAGAGCCAAGGCUAGCUCCUCCAGUCCCCUUCCCACUCCCCUGAACUCUACUAGUCGGAUGCUGUUUAGAUCCUUUCCCCACUGUAAUGGAAUGGAAUGCUGUGCAGGGUUUUGGCAAGUAAAAGCGAUCUAAGU
rnacentral:lncRNA from 1 species